GCAAAACCAAGGAGCCUAAAAUGAAAGGAAAAAUCAGAAAGGGAAAGAAAACAAGGAGAGGGAGGACGACUCCUCACAUUUCUUUCAGAGGACAGGAGGAGGAGGAGGAGGUCACCUUUGCAUGAUGGGGCCAGAGGAACCUCCUGAUCAUGUAUUGCCAGCUAUGCACUUGUUGCCAAACACGCAAUGGUUGAACCAAUCAGCAUGAGCAUUGAGGAACCUCUGGCAGUUACAGGCAUGGUUUAGAUGUGAC